rnacentral:lncRNA from 1 species
GUUUACUACAAUUGCAAAGUCAAAUAUGAUAUCCAAGAGAUACAGAUAUCAACAUCUGUGCUAUGAUCACUAUUCUAUCACUCUCAAGUUCGUCAACCUCAGAAACGCCCUAAAGCUCCAAGAAAAUCUGAGCAAACUUCGUCCAAAAAGCUGAAUGUCCUGUUUCUAAGUGACCAUAAGCAGCCAAUGAGACCCCAGAGGACAAAAGUAGCAUUCCGUGUUGGCCAUCAACAAACAGAGGCACAGCAUCACCUGGACUUCUCCCAGUGUAAAUGCUGGUCCAAAAAAAAAAGAGGAACCCCAAUUGCAAACAGGACAGAAACAAAGAAGCCAUGGAUGUGAAGUUAAGUCAACAGUUGAAAACAGGAAUAAUUAUGUUGAUCAAGACUAUGGAGAAGACGCAUUCACUGGGCAGAAGGGAUUAUGACAUAGUCACCCUUGUGGAAGAAAUUAUUAAAUGACAGCUUUAUUUUUCCAAUUCUAAGAUAAAUGACACUAAAGACUUUAUGACAGGGAGUGAUGUCAUUGUCAUAUGUAUCUUAUUUUCAGUAAUGCCAUCUUCCUGGAAUAGUAAUUGAAUAGAGAAUGUUUCCUUUACAUCAAAAAUAUGUGAUUUUUUUUUGUG